GGAACAGAAAUAACAGAUCUGAAAUUGUGAUUAAGUGUGUUUAAUAGUGACUCUCUCUGUUGCAGAUCUUCCUCAGCCCUAUCUCUCGGUGUUUCCUGCAGUUAUCACACAGAAUGGUUCAGUAGAGCUGCACUGUGGAGCUGAUAAUGAAGAGUAUCAGUGUUAUUUCUAUCCAAAGGGUCAGGAUACAAAUUUUGAAUUCUCUUCAUCCUGUCAGUUCUCACUCACUGGAUCUGAGCUGAUGUUGUGGACGGGACGACGCUCUGGUUCACCUGAACUGGUUAACAUAGUUUGUUUCUACAGUAAGAAAGCAACAGCAGCUCCUAAACCUUCUGAUCACUCUUUCCCAGUUGCUGUGGUGAUUCUGGAUCAGAAACCAACAAUAAGUGUUCAAUAUGAUUUUCAAGGUGAUGAGUUUAUAGCUGUGUGUGAAAUACAGCUGUCACGGUCAGUAAUUGCUGAAUUUAGCUGUCAGCUCUACACUGGAGACCUGCAGUUCCUGAAGGGAGAAUCUCAGAAGUCUGGCUUUGAGAAGUUGAACUGUAUUUUUACAGCUUCUAAAAAUGAUCUGUUCAGUCGUCUACACUUAGCCAGGAGCAGAGAAGUGAGCUGUGAUUAUUCUCUAAAGUCUGACCCGUCUACCCGCUCUCCAAGGAGUGACAAAUUUGAUAUAUCAGGUAAGUCACAAAUAAGUUAUAUAAUAAAGCUGUAUUGUGUUUGUUUAUCUGACAGAUACUUAAUAUGUUAUAUAAUGUGUAUGAAAGUUACACAUAAGCUGAAAUGUAUCCUGAACAUAUACAGUUAUUAUGUUCAGAUUAUUCUGCACUAAUUCAGCAAUCCAGACUGUAUUACUGUAUUUACUGAACUUUGUGUCUUUUUUAUUGUUAGUUUUCCUUCCUUUACCAACCCAACCCUCUAAAACAAAAGAAAAAGCUGCUAAAGGUUAGAACAUUGCUUCAUUUACCACUAAAUUAUCACAACAGCUCUUUAUGAAAUAUUUUACCUCAGUUAGUUCCGACCCUGCAAUGUGAUUGGCUGAGAGGUGUUCCAUGAGUGCCGUUACCAGCCGGUUAUGUACUGUAAUCAGAGCUCUAUAUGUAUUACUCCACCCCAUACAGGUAACCUAGCAACGAUGCAGCGCUUACAAACCAAACAGCACAGCUACAAACGGAACUGUGGUAUAAUCACAAUAAUACACUCAAGGUUUGUGUUAUAAGGUGUAAUAUUGGCACUUUAUUGGUCGUAGGCACGAGGCCACAAGUGCCGUGUGCCGUAGGUCAGCACAGCAGUGCCAAUAACCACUUAACCAGGCACCUAACCAGGCACAUAACCAGCAGUGCCAAUAAUACACGUUAUAGCACUCCCCCUCGUGUGUUAUUGCUUAAUUGUAUACUCUCUUUCACUCUUUAUACACUCUCUUUCAAUUUCCUUCACAACCAUCUUCACCACUAAACCUACAACAACCAGUGAGUAACAACAUGAGAUUUACUAUGUAACACUCUUUAAUAGGCUAUAUAAACGUAUAACACAUUUUGGACUAAAUUAUAUUAUAGACUGUUCUGCUUUAGUUUACUCUACAGCUGGUAAGUAAUUGCUACGGUGGCCGAGAAAGCCCAGCGCAGUGCAAAUUGAAAAGCGCUGCAAAAGCACAAAACACAUCCAUCAAAAUUACAACACAGGCGCAGCAAAUAGAAAAACACGCUGCAAAAAGAAAAACGCGCUGCAAAUAGAACCACAACACAACGGAAGUGAGUCACAACACAACAGAAUUUUCCCGGGGGACCUUAAAAGAUGCUGUACCAGCUGUAUACAAAGGACAAUAAGUGGCA
rnacentral:lncRNA from 1 species